UACGGAGGGUGCAGGCGUUAUCCGGAUUCACUGGGUUUAAAGGGUGCGUAGGUGGGCAGGUAAGUCAGUGGUGAAAUCUCCGGGCUUAACUCGGAAACUGCCAUUGAUACUAUCUGUCUUGAAUACCGUGGAGGUUAGCGGAAUAUGUCAUGUAGCGGUGAAAUGCUUAGAUAUGACAUAGAACACCAAUUGCGAAGGCAGCUGGCUACACGAAUAUUGACACUGAUGCACGAAAGCGUGGGGAUCAAACAGG
rnacentral:rRNA from 1 species